AUUGAACGCUGGCGGCAUGCCUUACACAUGCAAGUCGAACGGUAACAGGUUAAGCUGACGAGUGGCGAACGGGUGAGUAAUACAUCGGAACGUGCCCAGUAGUGGGGGAUAGCCCGGCGAAAGCCGGAUUAAUACCGCAUACGACCUAAGGGUGAAAGGGGGGGAUCGCAAGACCUCUCGCUAUUGGAGCGGCCGAUGUCAGAUUAGCUAGUUGGUGGGGUAAAAGCUCACCAAGGCGACGAUCUGUAGCUGGUCUGAGAGGACGACCAGCCACACUGGGACUGAGACACGGCCCAGACUCCUACGGGAGGCAGCAGUGGGGAAUUUUGGACAAUGGGCGCAAGCCUGAUCCAGCCAUGCCGCGUGCGGGAAGAAGGCCUUCGGGUUGUAAACCGCUUUUGUCAGGGAAGAAAUCCUUUGGGCUAAUACCUCGGGGGGAUGACGGUACCUGAAGAAUAAGCUCCGGCUAACUACGUG
rnacentral:rRNA from 1 species